rnacentral:hammerhead_ribozyme from 1 species
AUCUAGAUGACGAGUCCCGAAUAGGAUGAAACGUACAUCUUGGAU